GAAGGGAUGAACUUGAGAGCCAGGGC
rnacentral:piRNA from 1 species